GUGGGGAAUCUUGCGCAAUGGGCGAAAGCCUGACGCAGCCAUGCCGCGUGAAUGAUGAAGGUCUUAGGAUUGUAAAAUUCUUUCACCAGGGACGAUGAUGACGGUACCCGGAGAAGAAGCUCUGGCUAACUUCGUGCCAGCAGCCGCGGUAAUACGAAGGGGGCUAGCGUUGCUCGGAAUUACUGGGCGUAAAGGGCGCGUAGGCGGACAGCUUAGUCAGAGGUGAAAGCCCAGGGCUCAACCUUGGAAUUGCCUUUGAUACUGGCUGUCUUGAGUUUGGGAGAGGUGAGUGGAACUCCGAGUGUAGAGGUGAAAUUCGUAGAUAUUCGGAAGAACACCAGUGGCGAAGGCGACUCACUGGCCCAAUACUGACGCUGAGGCGCGAAAGCGUGGGGAGCAAACAGGAUUAGAAACCCGUGUAGUCC
rnacentral:rRNA from 1 species